rnacentral:rRNA from 1 species
UACGUAGGGACCAAGCGUUGUUCGGAUUUACUGGGCGUAAAGGGCGCGUAGGCGGCGACCCAAGUCAGAUGUGAAAGUCCUGGGCUUAACCUGGGGACUGCAUUUGAUACUGGGUUGCUUGAAUUCGGGAGAGGAUAGCGGAAUUCCCAGUGUAGAGGUGAGAUUCGUAGAUAUUGGGAAGAACACCGGUGGCGAAGGCGGCUAUCUGGACCGACAUUGACGCUGAGGCGCGAAAGCGUGGGGAGCAAACAGG